AUUGAACGCUGGCGGCAUGCCUUACACAUGCAAGUCGAACGGCAGCACGGGUGCUUGCACCUGGUGGCGAGUGGCGAACGGGUGAGUAAUACAUCGGAACAUGUCCUGUAGUGGGGGAUAGCCCGGCGAAAGCCGGAUUAAUACCGCAUACGAUCUACGGAUGAAAGCGGGGGGCCUUCGGGCCUCGCGCUAUAGGGGUGGCCGAUGGCUGAUUAGCUAGUUGGUGGGGUAAAGGCCUACCAAGGCGACGAUCAGUAGCUGGUCUGAGAGGACGACCAGCCACACUGGGACUGAGACACGGCCCAGACUCCUACGGGAGGCAGCAGUGGGGAAUUUUGGACAAUGGGCGAAAGCCUGAUCCAGCAAUGCCGCGUGUGUGAAGAAGGCCUUCGGGUUGUAAAGCACUUUUGUCCGGAAAGAAAUCCUUGGCCCUAAUACGGUCGGGGGAUGACGGUACCGGAAGAAUAAGCACCGGCUAACUACGUG
rnacentral:rRNA from 1 species